UUCAUCUUCUGCCAUGAUUGUGAGACCUCCCCAGCCAUGUGGAACUGUAAGUCCAUUAAACCUGCUUUUCUUUACAAAUUACCCAGUUUUGAGCAUUUCUGCAUAGUAGUUUGAGAAUGGACUAAUACUCUAUCCCAGUUUUACAGGUGAGGAAAGUGAGGCACAGAAGACGCAAAGUCAGAAGUGCCAGGAUUAAAACCCAAGCAGUCUGGCACCAGAGUUAAUGCUCUUAACCCAGUGUACUGUAAAGACUUUUAUGUUAAAUCUCAUGCUUAAGUUAGAAUAUAAACUAAUAUUUGUUUACUGCCCACAGCAUAACAGUUAGUUUAUAUGAUAUAUAUGUGUAUAUUCAUUGAAUCACUGAAUGAUGGUGGAGUCAUGAUACAAGUCCUAAUUUUAUGACUCAAGUAAAUGAUCUUUUUACUAACACAACUAUUUUUGUAGUUCAAAUGCCAAAAUUAGUUUUUGAAGAUUUAUUUUUAACAUCAGGGUAACUAUUCUCCACUUUACAAAAGUAUUCAUAACAAAAUUAGCUAUAGAGAGGAUGAGUAAUUGUAGACCCUGAAAGAUUUUGCUGUGCACUGAUACUUUGUCUUCUGUUUUUUCAGCCCAUAUUACCAAAUGCCUGACUUAAGAAAAAGAAAAUGUAAACAAAAGACAGAUUGAGACUGAAAGCACGAGAAUUUUAUUCCAGUGACUCAACCCCCAUUGUGUGAAGUAGACCAGAAUGAAUAAAUUGAACUUACUCAGCACCUCAAUUAUUAAAUGCAUCCACAGAAAUUCAUUCUGUCAAAUUAACUGUGGAGGUUGUUGUUGCUAUUGCAGGGAGACUUCAUAACAUUCAUGGAAAGAGGAGCAAAGGACCUGGUUUUUGCCAUGACUGGCUUUGGCCCUGUGAAUGAAUGUUCUUCUGGCAUUGGAAAGUAGAUAGCAAAGAGAGCAGAACCACAAAUGGGCUAUGAAGAAAUGUGUUCAAUGAAGAAGACAAAAUCUCUGACAAGAUCCAACAUAGGACCACAUCUCAGCAUCUUCUGUGAUUUAUGAACCCAA